rnacentral:hammerhead_ribozyme from 1 species
AUUCAACUGAUGAGUCCUAAAUAAGACGAAACACUCGUCAAACUGGAU